AGAGUUUGAUCCUGGCUCAGGAUGAACGCUGGCGGCGCGCCUAACACAUGCAAGUCGAACGGCACCCACCUCCGGGUGGAAGCGAGUGGCGAACGGCUGAGUAACACGUGGAGAACCCGCCCCCUCCUCCGGGAUAGCCCGGGGAAACCCGGGGUAAUACCGGAUGCCCCCGCCGGGCCGCAUGGCCCGGCGGGGAAGGCUCCGGCGGGAGGGGAUGGCUCCGCGGCCCAUCAGGUAGACGGCGGGGUGACGGCCCACCGUGCCGACGACGGGUAGCCGGGUUGAGAGACCGACCGGCCAGAUUGGGACUGAGACACGGCCCAGACUCCUACGGGAGGCAGCAGUGGGGAAUCUUGCGCAAUGGGGGCAACCCUGACGCAGCGACGCCGCGUGCGGGAUGGAGGCCUUCGGGUCGUAAACCGCUUUCAGCAGGGACGAGAGGAGACGGUACCUGCAGAAGAAGCCCCGGCUAACUACGUGCCAGCAGCCGCGGU
rnacentral:rRNA from 1 species